rnacentral:hammerhead_ribozyme from 1 species
CCACUUCUGAAGAGUCCCAUACUAGGACGAAACGGCCGUCUAGUGC